rnacentral:lncRNA from 1 species
GCAAAGGGAAAGCCUGAACCCUGCAGCGGGGUCUCUAGCCUGGCCCACUCUGGGCUCUUCUGUCCGGUGCCUGGAACGCAGGAGAGCCAAGGAUCUAAGAAUUCUCGUCCCUCAUCCUGCGCUGGCUUCUCUGCCCUAAGGGGCUGGGAGGUGAAGGGAAGACAGGUGUGGGGUCGCCAGGCAGAGGCAGGCAGUGAGAAGGACUGGGGGGACCCCUCCCACGGCAGUCCGGCCCAAGCCUUGGGCUGUGUAGGCCACCUGCUCCCCCUGGAGGCCCUGGAGAGAGGGGCAGGCAGGAGAGCCACACCAGAGGAAGAGCACCGUGGAAGAACAAUUGUGGUCCUUGCUCAGUCGAAGAGUAACCCUGCGUGCUGACACCUGCCAUUGCACCUGGCUUUCACGGUCAGCCGGAAAGGGUGCUGGAGCAACGCCAUCCUGUGUCCUGUAUGCAAUUGUGUGGAAAACAGCUCUGCUCUGAGCAAAGCAGCAUCAAUAUCUACUACUUAGAAACAGAUGAGAGGGCGACUUGGCAGCUGCUCGACAAUCAGACAAAACCUCACUCCGUUGUGUUUCGUGCCUCUAGAUUUUUUUAAAAGGGCCAAGCUUUCCUUCUGCCUCCUGCAUCUCGUAAUUGUCAGUGAGUUCAGUGGUACCUUUCCACAACAUAACUGAUCAACUGCAGGCUCAUGGCUAAUAAACUGAUACAAAAGAACUUAUGAAGACAUAACCUUUAAGCGUGUGAGAUAACAUGCAAUUCAACACGCAGCACAAAGAGCUCCGACGCCCAAGCGAGCCGCCGAGCUCGCAGUGGUUUCUCCAAGCGAAUCUGAGCAUAUGGUCCAUAAUGGAGCUUGAAUUUACAGCAACAGAGAUGUGCAAGGGAGAUUAAAGCUUCAUCUGUAAGGACAUACUGCCUGGCAAAAAACAACAAUUAUUGUAUUUUCUGCUUUGUAUUAUAAGAGACACUCAAAAUCUGUUUUGGUAGAGUGUGGGCUCCCUCUGCUGCUGGCAGGAGACACCGGGACUCCAGGCACUUGGGGCUCCUUGGGCACCUGAGCAGAGCAGGUGGCCUGUCCUGGGAGGAGAAAGAUGAGGCUGAACAUUGCAGAGGGACAGACUUGCUCUGCAGGCUCUGGCCCUGUGGGAUACGGGACUAUCUGUGCUGCCGCACCAAGGAGAAAGAAAUGGAGGGAAGGGAAAAACAACAAGAAACCAUAAGAUGUACUGUUCACACGCCCUGGGUCCAUCCAUUCUGAAAUAUGUCACAGAAGGGAUGCUGAAAGGCAGCUGCCCAGAGUGGCUCCUCUCUCUCUUACACACACACACACUCAUUUCUCUCUCUCCUUCUUUAUUCCACACAGCCACUGCAGAAGCUCCUCUGGUUCUGUUUCAGACCCUGCCAUCAGUUUUGCUAGUUCUCUGGGUUCUGCCUUGUCCAAGGACGGCCAGCAGCUGACUCGUGUGGUGUCAAGGAGAUGCAUCACCCAGGCUUAUCACGUCCUGCAUCAGCAGGCAAAGCAUCUCAGUAGACCUGCCGCACCCCACUCCCAGCCCCCGCCACUGGUUCUUCUUCUCAGCAACAGGACGUUCUAACGCAGCGGCCAUGCCAAGAGCAGAAGCAUUUUAAUGCCACAACUUUGAUGUGUCCGUUUUGACCAAACCAAAAAAUAAAGCCUUAACCCAAGCUGUUUCUAUUACCAAGAUACAUGUGACAGAUCAUAAACCCUAAGCCCUGGAGACAGACUGGGGCGUGGGGAGUGGAUGAGGCUCAGGGGCAGGGGUCAGACAGCACACUCUUUGAAACUAGGACCAUGCUUGCCCCUCUUAGAACCAUCAACCAAGAAAACAGCUCAUUCUCUCAUAAUUUGGUUAUUUACAUUGUCA